rnacentral:rRNA from 1 species
AGUUUUGCUCCAAGGACCAAUCAAAGGCGGGAGGCACACAGCUCAGUAACACGUGGACAACCUACCUUACGGAGGCGGAUAACCCCGGGAAACUGGGAUGAAUACGCCGUAGGCGUGGAGCUCUGGAAUGAAUCACGCUCAAACGGUGCAAUCUAUUGCCGAUUGUUCUCUACCGUAAGAUGGGUCUGCGGCGGAUUAGGUUGAUGGUGAGGUAAUGGCUCACCAUGCCCGCGAUCCGUACCGGCUAUGAGAGUAGGAGCCGGGAGAUGGAUACUGAGACAAAGAUCCAGGUCCUACGGGACGCAGCAGUCGCGAAACCUUCCCAAUGCGCGAAAGCGUGAGGAGGGGACCCCAAGUGUCCCAGCUAAUGCUGGGACUUUUCUGAAGUGUAAAAAGCUUUUGGAAUAAGGGCUGGGUAAGACCGGUGCCAGCCUCCGCGGUAACACCGGCAGCUCAAGUGGUGGUCACGUUUAUUGGGCUUAAAGCGUUCGUAGUCUGCCACGCAAGUCCUCUGUGAAAUCCAACCGCUCAACGGUUGGGCUUGCAGAGGAUACUACAUGGCUAGAGGCCGGGAGAGGAGUGAGGUAUUCCAGGGGUACCGGUGAAAUGGUAUAAUCCUUGGAAGACCACCAGUGGCGAAGGCGUCACUCUGGAACGGGCCUGACGAUGAGGAACGAAAGUAGGGGAGCGAACCGGAUUAGAUACCCGGGUAGUCCUAGCCGUAAACGAUGCGGACUGAGUAUUGCCGAAGCCUCGAGCUCCGGCAGUGCUGUAGGGAAACUGUCAAGUCCGCCGCCUGGGGAGUAUGGUCGCAAGACUGAAACUUAAAGGAAUUGGCGGGGGAGCACCACAAGGGGUGGAUGCUGCGGUUCAAUUGGAUACAACGCCGGGAAACUUACCAGGGGCGACGGCAGAAUGAUGGCCAGGCUGAAGGUCUUGCCUAACGAGCCGAGAGGUAGUGCAUGGCCGUCGUCAGCUCGUACCGUGAGGCGUACGGUUAAGUCCGUUAACGAGCGAGACCCGUACCCUUAUUUGCUAGCUCUUCUCUUCGGAGGGGGGCGCACUAUAAGGGGACCGCUGGCGAUGAGUCAGAGGAAGGCGCGGGCGACGGUAGGUCUGUAUGCUCCGAAUCUCCUGGGCUACACGCGGCAUACAAUGGCACGGACAAUGGGUCGCGACCCCGAAAGGGGGAGCUAAUCCUCCAAACCGUGUCUCAGUUCAGAUCGAGGGUUGCAACCCACCCUCGUGAAGGUGAAAUCCCUAGUAAUCGUAGUUUACCAAACUGCGGUGAAUAUGUCCCUGCUCCUUGCACACACCGCCCGUCACACCAACCGAGUGAACUGGGGGUGAGGCGCGCUCUUACUUGGGCGUGUCGAAUCUCUGGUCUGCAAGGGGGGUGAAGUCGUAACAAGGUA